rnacentral:rRNA from 1 species
UGCGUAGGCGGGUCUUUAAGUCAGGGGUGAAAUCCUGGAGCUCAACUCCAGAACUGCCUUUGAUACUGAGGAUCUUGAGUACGGGAGAGGUGAGUGGAACUGCGAGUGUAGAGGUGAAAUUCGUAGAUAUUCGCAAGAACACCAGUGGCGAAGGCGGCUCACUGGCCCGUUACUGACGCUGAGGCACGAAAGCGUGGGGAGCAAACA